GCCAGGCAUGGUGGUACACGCCUGUAAUCCCAGCAACUUGGGAGGCUGAGGCAGGAGGAUUUCAAGUUCAAGGCCAGCCUCAGCAACUUAGCAAGGCCCUAAGCAACUUAGCAAGACCUUGUCUCAA
rnacentral:sRNA from 1 species